rnacentral:rRNA from 1 species
AUUGAACGCUGGCGGCAUGCCUUACACAUGCAAGUCGAACGGCAGCACGGGUGCUUGCACCUGAUGGCGAGUGGCGAACGGGUGAGUAAUACAUCGGAACGUACCUUAUCGUGGGGGAUAACGCAGCGAAAGCUGUGCUAAUACCGCAUACGCCUUGAGGGGGAAAGCGGGGGAUCGCAAGACCUCGCGCGAUUAGAGCGGCCGAUGCCUGAUUAGCUUGUUGGUGGGGUAAAAGCCCACCAAGGCGACGAUCAGUAGCUGGUCUGAGAGGACGAUCAGCCACACUGGGACUGAGACACGGCCCAGACUCCUACGGGAGGCAGCAGUGGGGAAUUUUGGACAAUGGGGGCAACCCUGAUCCAGCAAUGCCGCGUGAGUGAAGAAGGCCUUCGGGUUGUAAAGCUCUUUUGUCAGGGAAGAAACACCGGCUCUAACACAGUCCGGGAAUGACGGUACCUGAAGAAUAAGCACCGGCUAACUACGUGCCAGCAGCCGCCGCGG